GAUGAACGCUAGCUACAGGCUUAACACAUGCAAGUCGAGGGGUAACGAGAGGAAAGCUUGCUUUCCUUGUCGACGACCGGCGCACGGGUGAGUAACGCGUAUCCAACCUGCCCCCAACUAGGGAAUAACCUUGCGAAAGUAAGACUAAUACCCUAUAAUUUCCUCAGAUGUCAUCUGACGAGGAAUAAAGAUUUAUCGGUUGUGGAUGGGGAUGCGUCUGAUUAGCUUGUUGGCGGGGUAACGGCCCACCAAGGCAACGAUCAGUAGGGGUUCUGAGAGGAAGGUCCCCCACAGUGGAACGGAGACACGGUCCAAACUCCUACGGGAGGCAGCAGUGAGGAAUAUUGGUCAAUGGGCGGAAGCCUGAACCAGCCAAGUAGCGUGCAGGAUGACGGCCCUAUGGGUUGUAAACUGCUUUUAUACAGGAAUAAAGUUAGCCACGUGUGGUUAUUUGUAGGUACUGUAUGAAUAAGGACCGGCUAAUUCCGUGCCAGCCGCCGCGGUAA
rnacentral:rRNA from 1 species